rnacentral:rRNA from 1 species
AGUGAACGCUGGCGGUAGGCCUAACACAUGCAAGUCGAACGGCAGCACAGUAAGAGCUUGCUCUUACGGGUGGCGAGUGGCGGACGGGUGAGGAAUACAUCGGAAUCUACUUUUUCGUGGGGGAUAACGUAGGGAAACUUACGCUAAUACCGCAUACGACCUACGGGUGGAAGCAGGGGAUCUUCGGACCUUGCGCGAUUGAAUGAGCCGAUGUCGGAUUAGCUAGUUGGCGGGGUAAAGGCCCACCAAGGCGACGAUCCGUAGCUGGUCUGAGAGGAUGAUCAGCCACACUGGAACUGAGACACGGUCCAGACUCCUACGGGAGACAGCAGUGGGGAAUAUUGGACAAUGGGCGCAAGCCUGAUCCAGCCAUACCGCGUGGGUGAAGAAGGCCUUCGGGUUGUAAAGCCCUUUUGUUGGGAAAGAAAAGCAGCAGGUUAAUACCCCGCUGUUCUGACGGUACCCAAAGAAUAAGCACCGGCUAACUUCGUG